rnacentral:rRNA from 1 species
UACGUAGGGUGCGAGCGUUGUCCGGAAUUAUUGGGCGUAAAGAGCUCGUAGGCGGUUUGUUGCGUCUAUCGUGAAAACCUGCAGCUUAACUGUGGGCUUGCGGUGGAUACGGGCAGACUUGAGUUCGGUAGGGGAGACUGGAAUUCCUGGUGUAGCGGUGAAAUGCGCAGAUAUCAGGAGGAACACCGGUGGCGAAGGCGGGUCUC